rnacentral:rRNA from 1 species
UACGUAGGGGGCGAGCGUUAUCCGGAUUCAUUGGGCGUAAGGCGCGCGUAGGCGGCCGCCUAAGCGGAACCUCUAAUCCCGGGGCUCAACCUCGGGCCGGGUUCCGGACUGGGCGGCUCGAGUGCGGUAGAGGCAGGCGGAAUUCCCGGUGUAGCGGUGGAAUGCGCAGAUAUCGGGAAGAACACCGAUGGCGAAGGCAGCCUGCUGGGCCGACACUGACGCUGAGGCGCGAAAGCUGGGGGAGCGAACAGG